UGCGCUCGGGAAAUUUUAUGCUGAUUCAAUUAUCCGUGGAAUUUGUGGAGGCUGGAAAUUUUCAAAGGCGUCAGUCAGUGAUGAAUGAGAAAAACUCUUUAACACUUCCUUCCGUUUGGCGAGAUUAUCCAACGACGCGAUUUAAUCAAGCAUGACGAUGCAUCGGAACAUCCGCGGGUUGUUAAAGAGUAAACGAGAAAUUCCGAUGACGAAGUGAUAUCAUCGUACUAUUUGCAAACGUCAUCGAAUUCAGGAUACGGGAUGAUAAGGACUUCGGUGAUGUCAUUGAAGAUUUAAUAAAUCAACAAGCCCUAGAAGAACAUUCAUCGUUUUAUAUUGAAUAUUUUAUAUAACAGACUCGCAAGAUAGAACAAUGUAAAAAGACGUGUGACGUGAUGGUGACAAAAUUAGAUGUCUAAAAUGAGUGUAUGACAAGAUGUGCAAUAAAAGGGAUUACUGGGUUGUCGACUCUUCCGUUAA